rnacentral:rRNA from 1 species
UACGUAGGGGGCAAGCGUUGUCCGGAUUUAUUGGGCGUAAAGCGCUCGCAGGUGGUUCGUCGCGUCGUGCGUGAAAGACCCCGGCUCAACUGGGGGAGGUCGUGCGAUACGGGCGGACUGGAGGCCAGUAGGGGGAUGCGGAAUUCCGGGUGUAGUGGUGGAAUGCGUAGAGAUCCGGAGGAACACCAGCGGCGAAGGCGGCAUCCUGGACUGGUCCUGACACUCAGGAGCGAAAGCGUGGGGAGCGAAUGGG